rnacentral:rRNA from 1 species
AUGCCAAAAGCUUCACAUGAGUAUGCUUGUCGUCUAGUUGGUGGCCCUAACAACCUUGGUUACACUUGCCGUGACCGAAAGAACCAUUUGCGAAGCAAGCGGCAGCGGGAGUUGGCUUAUGGACAGGCUGGAAGUAUGUUGAAUUAUUUUCGUGACAAGCAGGCUGAGAAUGCAGCAUUCCAAUACCAUUUGCAGUUGGAUAGUGAGGAGCAUAUAGCCAACAUAUUCUGGGUUGAUGCUAAAAUGCUACUUGACUAUGCACACUUUGGCGAUGUUGUCACAUUUGACACUACAUUUGGCACAAACAAAGAGUAUAGGCCAUUUGGUAUUUUUCUUGGGCUAAACUAUUUCAGAAAAACAAUCAUUUUUGGUGCUGCAUUGAUGUUCGAUGAAACACGUGACUCCUUUAUAUGGCUCUUUGAGACUUUUCUAGCCGCACAUAAUGGAAGGCAACCUAGAACUAUCUAUACAGAUCAAGAUGUUGCAAUGGGAAAAUCCAUAGAAAAGGUCUUCACAGAAUCAUAUCAUGGAUUGUGCACCUUCCAUAUAAUGCAAAAUGCUGUCAAACACUUAACUUCUGUGAAGGGCGAAGAAAAAGAUGGAAGUGGAAGAGAGAGAUGA